AACGCUAGCUACAGGCUUAACACAUGCAAGUCGAGGGGCAGCAUGAUCUUAUCUUGCUAAGGACGAUGGCGACCGGCGCACGGGUGAGUAACACGUAUCCAACCUGCCGUCUACUCUUGGACAGCCUUCUGAAAGGAAGAUUAAUACAAGAUGGCAUCAUGAGUCCGCAUGUUCACAUGAUUAAAGGUAUUCCGGUAGACGAUGGGGAUGCGUUCCAUUAUAUAGUAGGCGGGGUAACGGCCCACCUAGUCUUCGAUGGAUAGGGGUUCUGAGAGGAAGGUCCCCCACAUUGGAACUGAUACACGGUCCACACUCCUACUGGAGGCAGCAGUGAGGAAUAUUGUUCAAUGGGCGAGAGCCUGAACCAGCCAAGUAGCGUGAAGGAUGACUGCCCUAUGGGUUGUAAACUUCUUUUAUAAUGGAAUAAAGUCGGUUAUGGAUACCCGUUUGCAUGUACUUUAUGAACUAAGAUCAGCUAACUCCGUGCCUACAGCCGCGGUAAUACGGAAGAUCCGAGCGGUUAUCGGGAUUUAUUGGGUGUAAAGGGAGUGUAGAUGGAUGUUUCAGUCAGUUGUGAAAGUUUGCGGCUCGACCGUAGAAUAGCAGUUGAUAGUAGAUGUCUUGAGUGUAGUCGAGGCAGGCGGAAUUCGUGGAGUAGUGGUGAGAUGCUUAGAUAUCGAGAAGAACUCUGAUUGCGAAGGCAGCCUGCUAAGCUGCAACUGACAUUGAGGCUAGAAAGUGUGGGUAUCAAACAGGAUUAGAUGCCAUGGUAGUGCACUCGGUAAUAGAUGAAUUCUCGCUGUUUGUGAUAUAGUGCAAGCGGUCAAGAGUAAGCGUUAAGUAUUCCACCUGGGGAGUACGCCGGCAACGGUGAAACUCAAAGGAAUUGACGGGGGCGCGCACAAGCGGAGGAACAUGUGGUUUAAUUGGAUGAUACGCGAGGAACCUUCCUCGGGCUUAAAUUGCAGAUGAAUUACGGUGAAAGCCGUAAGCCGCAAGGCAUCUGUGAAGGUGCUGCAUGGUUGUGGUCAGCUCGUGCCGUGAGGUGUCGGCUUAAGUGCCAUAACGAGCGCAACCCUUGUUGUCAGUUAAUAACAGGUUUCGAUGAGGACUCUGACAAGCCUGCCAUAGUAAGAUGUGAGGAAGGUGGGGAUGUCGUCAAAUCAGCACGGCCGUUACGUCCGGGGCUACACACGUGUUACAAUGGGGGGUACAGAGGGCCGGUUCCACGCGAGUGGAUGCCAAUCCCCAAAACCUCUAUCAGUUUGGACUGGAGUGUGCAACCCGAGCUCCAAGAAGCUGGAUUCGUUAGUAAUCGCGCAUCAGCCACGGCGCGGUGAAUUCGUUCCCGGGCCUUGUACACACCCCCCGUCAAGCCAUGGGAGCCGGGGGUACGUGAAGUGCGUAACCGCGAGGAG
rnacentral:rRNA from 1 species